rnacentral:lncRNA from 1 species
AUACCCAUCCCAUCUCUUCAUCCAAGCAGAGAGAUGGGGUCUCCCUAUGUUGCCCAGGCUGGUCUCGAACUCCUGGACUCAAAAGAUUCUUCUGCCUUGGCCUCCCAAAGUGCUGGGAUUACAAGCAUGAGCCACCACACCUGGCCCAGGAUUGAAAGCUGUGGAUCACACCGCUGUAGUACCCCAGCCUCUCUACUGCUCCCAGAGCACAUCCACACACUUUGAACCCUGACCUUGAAGCUCUGAUUCCUGAGUCCUAGUUGAAAGGGCCUCGCAACAACCCAUGAGAUCGGUGAUGACUGCCCCCAUUUGCCAGCUUUGCAGGGAGAGGUCAAGACCAAGACGAUCUUCAGGCCCAAGGGAGGCAGGGAGGAGGCUUGCAAAGCCCACCCCUGGGAAGAGGCCUCGCAACAACCCACGAGAUCUGUGAUGACUGCCCCCAUUUGCCAGAUGAGAAGCUGAGGCUCGGAGAUAUUGAGGAAUCUGUCGAGCGUGUUGCUCCACAGAGCUGACAGCUUCCCACAGUGUGUGAGAUGUGCCACAGCCAGGGGAGAUCUCAGGAAAAAGA